UUUGAUCCUGGCUCAGAUUGAACGCUGGCGGCAUGCCUUACACAUGCAGGUCGAACGGCAGCGCGUCCUUCGGGAUGGCGGCGAGUGGCGAACGGGUGAGUAAAGCAUCGGAACGUGCCCGGUAGUGCGGGAUAGCUCGGCGAAAGCCGGAUUAAUACCGCAUGAGAUCCGUGGAUGAAAGCAGGGGACCCCUUGUGGGCCUUGCGCUACUGGAGCGGCCGAUGUCAGAUUAGGUAGUUGGUGGGGUAAAGGCCCACCAAGCCUGCGAUCUGUAGCUGGUCUGAGAGGAUGAUCAGCCACAUCGGGACUGAGACACGGCCCGAACUCCUACGGGAGGCAGCAGUGGGGAAUUUUGGACAAUGGGCGCAAGCCUGAUCCAGCCAUGCCGCGUGCAGGAUGAAGGCCCUCGGGUUGUAAACUGCUUUUGUACGGAACGAAAAGCCUCUUUCUAAUAAAGAGGGGUGAUGACGGUACCGUAAG
rnacentral:rRNA from 1 species